GAUGAACGCUGGCGGCGUGCCUAAUACAUGCAAGUCGAGCGAACAGAUAAGGAGCUUGCUCCUUUGACGUUAGCGGCGGACGGGUGAGUAACACGUGGGUAACCUACCUAUAAGACUGGAAUAACUCCGGGAAACCGGGGCUAAUGCCGGAUAACAUUUAGAACCGCAUGGUUCUAAAGUGAAAGAUGGUUUUGCUAUCACUUAUAGAUGGACCCCCGCCGUAUUAGCUAGUUGGUAAGGUAACGGCUUACCAAGGCAACGAUACGUAGCCGACCUGAGAGGGUGAUCGGCCACACUGGAACGGAGACACGGUCCAGACUCCUACGGGAGGCAGCAGUAGGGAAUCUUACGCAAUGGGCGAAAGCCUGACGGAGCAACGCCGCGUGAGUGAUGAAGGUCUUCGGAUCGUAAAACUCUGUUAUUAGGGAAGAACAAAUGUGUAAGUAACUGUGCACGUCUUGACGGUACCUAAUCAGAAAGCCACGGCUAACUACGUG
rnacentral:rRNA from 1 species